rnacentral:rRNA from 1 species
GACAGAGGUGCCAAGCGUUAGGCGGAAUCACUGGGCUUAAAGCGUGUGUAGGCGGAUGCCUAAGUACCUUGUGAAAUCCCACGGCUCAACCGUGGAACUGCUUGGUAUACUGGGUGUCUUGAGCCAUCUAGGGGCUACCGGAACAAAUGGUGGAGCAGUGAAAUGCGUAGAGAUCAUGAGGAAGACCAGUGGCGAAGGCGGGUCUCUGGACAGUUCCUGACACUGAGACACGAAGGCCAGGGGAGCAAACGGG